rnacentral:lncRNA from 13 species
AGUGACUUGAAUUUAAAAUCCCAAAAUGUGAAACAUUCACAUAAAUUGCUUCUCUUUUUGAGCUUAUUGAGAAGGUAUUGAAAUUGAUGGCCUUUUUUAAAUUAUUGAAUUUACUUCACUUUAAUACCUGAUUAGAAUGUCUUGAAUUUGAAUAGACUUCAACUGUGAAAAACCCAGCAGCGUUGCAGUUUGACAAACACAAACCGUUGCGCCUGGCACCUACUAACAUACCCCAUUCAAAUGCACUUAAAUAUUUUGUCUUGCCCAUUCACCAUCUGAAUGGUUCCCAUACACAAUCCAUGUCUUAAUUGUCUCAAGAUUUAAAAAUCCUUCUUAAACCUGUCUCCUCUCCUUCAUCUGCACCAGGUAUGGGCAACUCCUCAACUCCUCAUGAGGAGCUGCAGUGGCUCGUGGGUCUGCGUGCCCACAUCCAUGGGCCUACAAAAGAGGGGCCAUGGGCCCCUGAUCUACAUUGAUUGAAGUGGAUUUAACAGGUAACAUCAAUAAGGGAUCAUACCUUUCACCUGGAUUCACCUGGUCAGUCUGUCAUGGAAAGAGCAGGUGUUCCUAAUCUUUUGUACACUCCGUGAAGAUGACAUCAUGACAGAAUCUCUCAAUUGGAAUUACAGAAGGUCCUAUGGACCAUAGAGAUCCUAUUAAAUAUGCAUGUUCUAUAUGUAAUUCUAUGCUACUGUAUCUGACCAAGGGGAACCUCGUGGAAAAAGUCCCACCGCUCAACUCGACCUGUGCCAAUUCUGAUGGAUAAAGAACCCAUCUUGUGGUUUUACAUGUCCCUCUGAUGUUGCUAUGUUUCUGUCAAGCUGGACGUACAGUAGAAUUUGCCCCCAUCUACAGACCUGACCUAGGGUCAGCUCACCAAACCUCGGUGCAACAAAAACUAUUUGAAGUCUUCCUGCAUGACUGGCUCUAAUGACGGGGUAAAGGAGCAGGAGCAGGAGCCUACCACUGGAUACAGGCGCUGCCAUCCGGAAUGAUUGCAUCCUAGCCACGGGGAAAUGCACAUUUCAUUUGUACUUUAUUUAAGCGUACAGUUAUCAUAAUCUAUUAAAAUAAUCGUACUACAGAAUAAAAUGAAAACGAGUUGGUUUAUUUCACUAAUUCAUGUCACACACACACACACACACACACACACACACACACGGGUGGUGAUCUCUUGCCGACAGAUUCCACAAUAAAGGGCUGGUCCUUGCAGUCCUCUUGGCAUUGGAAUUUGUGGUGUUCAUUCUCAAACUUGAUAGGCUAAUCUGGACUUUCCAGUAUGAUUUGUAUGUUCUACAAGACAAGUGUUCCAUGUAGACUGAGAACUGCUUUCACUCAUUGGCCCUUAUGACAAAAACCAACCCCUCCUCCCCCAUUACAUUCUCUCCCAUAACUCUCACCCAGAUAUUCACCACCAAGACCAGGGACUAAUUGUACUGGUGACCUCAUGAAGACAUUCUGAAUCAAUGGAUGACAAAUCAAUGGAUGACAAAUCCAUCAAAUCUGUAUUCAAUAUUGUUCACUUAGUGACAUUUUUUUUCAUGAGGUUAUGAACCCAUUAAUUUGUGUAUGCAGCAUUGCAGGUGUAUUCCCACUUCUGGGGGGCUGAGUCGCUAAUGGCACCCUAUUCCAUAUAGUGCACUACAUUUGACCAGGGCUUGGAAAUUAAACAAGUGGGCUCAUAAGCCUUGUAAUAGCUUAUUCCUUUAUUCUUGGUGGUCACACUUUUGGGUAA